AGAUUGAACGCUGGCGGCAUGCCUUACACAUGCAAGUCGAACGGCAGCACGGGAGCAAUCCUGGUGGCGAGUGGCGAACGGGUGAGUAACAUAUCGGAACGUACCCAGUAGUGGGGGAUAGCCCGGCGAAAGCCGGAUUAAUACCGCAUACGACCUAUGGGUGAAAGCGGGGGAUCGCAAGACCUCGCGCUAUUGGAGCGGCCGAUAUCAGAUUAGCUAGUUGGCGGGGUAAGAGCCCACCAAGGCGACGAUCUGUAGCUGGUCUGAGAGGACGACCAGCCACACUGGGACUGAGACACGGCCCAGACUCCUACGGGAGCAGCAGUGGGGAAUUUUGGACAAUGGGCGCAAGCCUGAUCCAGCCAUCGCCGCGUGUGGGAAGAAGGCCGUUCGGUUACGUAAACCGUACUUUUUCGUACGAGGAAGGAACGGUCGU
rnacentral:rRNA from 1 species